CAGCCGCCGCGGGAAUACGUAGGGUGCGAGCGUUAAUCGGAAUUACUGGGCGUAAAGCGUGCGCAGGCGGUUUUGUAAGACAGAGGUGAAAUCCCCGGGCUCAACCUGGGAACUGCCUUUGUGACUGCAAGGCUGGAGUGCGGCAGAGGGGGAUGGGAUUCCGCGUGUAGCAGUGAAAUGCGUAGAUAUGCGGAGGAACACCGAUGGCGAAGGCAAUCCCCUGGGCCUGCACUGACGCCCAUGCACGAAAGCGUGGGGAGCAAACAGGAUUAGAUACCCGCGUAGUCCCUGUCUCUUAUAA
rnacentral:rRNA from 1 species